rnacentral:rRNA from 1 species
ACGGCUCAGUAACACGUAGUCAACAUGCCCCAGGGGACGUGGAUAACCUCGGGAAACUGAGGCUAAACCGCGAUAGGCCAAGAUUUCUGGAAUGGAUCAUGGCUUAAAUCUAUAUGGCCCCUGGAUUGGACUGCGGCCGAUCAGGCUGUUGGUGAGGUAAUGGCCCACCAAACCUGUAACCGGUACGGGCUCUGAGAGGAGGAGCCCGGAGAUGGGCACUUAGACAAGGGCCCAGGCCCUAUGGGGCGCAGCAGGCGCGAAACCUCUGCAAUAAGCGAAAGCUUGACAGGGUUACUCUGAGUGAUUUCCGCUAAGGAAGUCUUUUGGCACCUCUAAAAAUGGUGUAGAAUAAGGGGUGGGCAAGUCUGGUGUCAGCCGCCGCGGUAAUACCAGCACCCCGAGUGGUCGGGACGAUUAUUGGGCCUAAAGCAUCCGUAGCCGGUCCUGCAAGUCCUCCGUUAAAUCCACCCGCUCAACGGUUGGGCCGCGGGGGAUACUACAGGGCUAGGAGGCGGGAGAGGCAAGCGGUACUCGAUGGGUAGGGGUAAAAUCCACUGAUCCAUUGAAGACCACCAGUGGCGAAGGCGGCUUGCCAGAACGCGCUCGACGGUGAGGGAUGAAAGCUGGGGGAGCAAACCGGAUUAGAUACCCGGGUAGUCCCAGCUGUAAACGAUGCAGACUCGGUGAUGGGCUGGCUUCGUGCCAACCCGGUGCCGCAGGGAAGCCGUUAAGUCUGCCGCCUGGGGAGUACGGUCGCAAGACUGAAACUUAAAGGAAUUGGCGGGGGAG